GUAGUAAGAACGAAUUAACCAUGUUUAUCGGAAUUUUCUCGAUUGCUAUUGUAGUGAAUAUGAUAUCAAUUCCUACCAUUAAAGCCUGCUCGAUCAGGAAUUCAACUGGAGGAGAGAAAUGCUGCACAAACUUUUACAAAGUCAGCAACACCUGUCAAGCCUGCCUUCCCGGGUAUUUCGGCGACCAAUGUAGAUAUGCAUGUGUUUAUCCCGGGUUUGGACCUCUAUGUAACGAAGAAUGCA